AUUGAACGCUGGCGGCAUGCCUUACACAUGCAAGUCGAACGGCAGCACGGGAGCAAUCCUGGUGGCGAGUGGCGAACGGGUGAGUAAUAUAUCGGAACGUGCCCAGUAGUGGGGGAUAACUGCUCGAAAGAGCAGCUAAUACCGCAUACGACCUGAGGGUGAAAGGGGGGAUCGCAAGACCUCUCGCUAUUGGAGCGGCCGAUAUCAGAUUAGCUAGUUGGUGGGGUAAAGGCCUACCAAGGCAACGAUCUGUAGUUGGUCUGAGAGGACGACCAGCCACACUGGGAUUGAGACACGGCCCAGACUCUUACGGGAGGCAGCAGUGGGGAAUUUUGGACAAUGGGCGCAAGCCUGAUCCAGCAAUGCCGCGUGCAGGAAGAAGGCCUUCGGGUUGUAAACUGCUUUUGUCAGGGAAGAAAUCCUCUAGGUUAAUACCCUUGGGGGGAUGACGGUACCUGAAGAAUAAGCACCGGCUAACUACGUGCCAGCCGCCGCCGUAAGAC
rnacentral:rRNA from 1 species